rnacentral:lncRNA from 1 species
GGUCCAGGAGGGGCUCCUGCCCCCACUCUGCCUCCAGUGGCUCCUCUUUCUGCUGGAGGCUGACUGUGGGAGCUCAGAUCGCACACACUAACCGGCAUCCCGGCCUAGACUAGAGUCUUGAAACCACGGCUUGUGCUGGAGCUUUUGGUUUUGUUGCUGUUUUAAAGCAGAUGCUGGAGGCUUGGGAAGGAUUUACCUCGUCCAACCCCUUACCUCCAAUAAAGCUGGACCCGGAGAGAGGGAACACACACCCAGGUCACAGGGCAACAUGCUGGGAUUGAACUUGGCUGCGGCCUGAAAGGCUGAACGUGACUGGAUUCCAUCACCUACCUCUAAGUCAGCCUCUCCCUCUCGUCCUCUCUCUCUGCCCACUCUACCCAUGUUGCCCAAAUGCUGAGAACUCUCCCACCCUCAGGGCCUUUGCACCGUCUUCUCUGCCUUAAUUUGAGUCUCAUGGCUCUCUCUGCUCUAGUGUCAACUCCUCAGCUACCUUCUCUGACUCCUCUUCUAUAUGGGAGGCCCUCCUGUGUUCCCUCAGUCUCUCACUGGUGCCUUCUGUGUUCCCUCAAUCUCUCACUGCAGGCCUUCAGUGUUCCCUCAGUCUCAAACUGGAGGCCUUCUGUGUCUCCUCAGUCUCUCACUGGUGCCUUCUGUGUUCCCUCAGUCUCUCACUGGAGCCUUCUGUGUUUCCUCAGUCUCUCACUGGUGCCUUCUGUGUCUCCUCAGUCUCUCACUGGAGGCCUUCUGUGUUCCCUCAGUCUCUCACUGGAGGCCGUCUGUGUUCCCUCAGUCUCUCACAGGUGCCUUCUAUGUCUCCUCAUUCUCUCACUGGUGCCUUCUGUAUCUCCUCAGUCUCUCACAGGUUCCUUCUGUAUUCCCUCAGUCUCUCACUGGUGCCUCUGUGUCUCCUCAGUCUCUCACUGGUGCCUUCUGUGUCUCCUCAGUCUCUCACUGGUGCUUUCUGUGUCUCUUCAGUCUCUCACUUGUACCUUCUGUGUCUCCUCAGUCUCUCACUGGUGCCUUCUGUGUCUCCUCAGUCUCACUGGAGCCUUCUGUGUCUCCUCAGUCUCUCACUGGUGCCUUCUGUGUCUCUUCAGUCUCUCACUGGUACCUUCUGUGUCUCCUCAGUCUCUCACUGGUGCCUUCUGUGUCUCCUCAGUCUCACUGGAGCCUUCUGUGUCUCCUCAGUCUCUCACUGGUGCCUUUUGUGUUCCCUCAGUCUCUCACGGGUGCCUUCUGUGUUCCCUCAGCCUCUCACUGCAGGCCUUCUGUGUCUCCUCAGUCUCUCACUGCAGGCCUUCUGUGUCUCCUCAGUCUCUCACUGGUGCUUUCUGUGUCUCCCCAGUCUCUCACAGGUGCCUUCUGUGUUCCCUCAGUCUCUCACUGGAGCCUUCUUUGUCUCCUCAGUCCCUCAUUGCAGGCCUUCUGUGUCUCGUCAGUCUCUCACUGGUGCCUUCUGUGUCUCCUCAGACUCUCACUGGAGGCCUUCUGUGUCUCCUCAGUCUCUCACUGGUGCCUUCUGUGUCUCCUCAGACUCUCACUGGAGGCCUUCUGUGUCUCCUCAGUCUCUCACUGGAGGCCUUCUGUGUCUCCUCAGUCUCUCACUGCUGCCCUUCUGUGUCCCCCCCAAUCUCUCACUUGGCUUUAUAUUUCCUGUCAGUGCAGUCCAACUAUCCAUUACAUCUUUUGUUGUCAUCCAAUGGGACCCCUACCCCUGACAUAGCUCCCACCUCUGUCCCUGCCCAGUCCCUGUCUCUGCCUCUACCAUAGCUCUUCUCCCUACCCCAACCCCUCCUCUGUCCCCUGCCCUUGCCCGAGCCCCAU